UGUGCCUACGGGGCGCAGCAGUGAGGAAUAUUGGUCAAUGGGCGGGAGCCUGAACCAGCCAAGUCGCGUGAGGGACGACGGUCCUAUGGAUUGUAAACCUCUUUUGUCGGGGAACAAAGGCGCCCACGGGCGGGCGGAUGAGUGUACCCGAAGAAAAAGCAGCGGCUAACUCCGUGCCAGCAGCCGCGGUAAUACGGAGGAUGCGAGCGUUAUCCGGAUUUAUUGGGUUUAAAGGGUGCGUAGGCGGACAGUCAAGUCAGCGGUAAAAAUGCGGUGCUCAACGCCGUACAGCUGUUGCUACUGGC
rnacentral:rRNA from 1 species